CCUACGGGGGGCAGCAGUGGGGAAUAUUGCACAAUGGGGGAAACCCUGAUGCAGCGACGCCGCGUGAGUGAAGAAGUAAUUCGUUAUGUAAAGCUCUAUCAGCAGGGAAGAAAAUGACGGUACCUGAGUAAGAAGCCCCGCAAACUACGAGGCAGGAGCCGCGGUAAUUAGGAGGGGGGAAGCGUUAUUCGGGUUUACCGGGGGUAAAGGGGGCGUAGGCGGGAGGGCAAGUCUGGAGUGAAAGGCGGGGGGUCAACCCCCGGACUGCACUGGAAACUGGACGGCUGGAGUGCAGGAGAGGUAAGUGGAAUUCCUAGUGUAGCGGUGAAAUGCGUAGAUAUUAGGAGGAACACCAGUGGCGAAGGCAGCUUACUGGACUGUAACUGACGUUGAGGCUCGAAAGCGUGGGGAGCAAACAGGAUUAGAUACCCGAGUAGUC
rnacentral:rRNA from 1 species